rnacentral:rRNA from 1 species
UACGGAGGGUGCGAGCGUUGUCCGGAAUCACUGGGCGUAAAGGGCGCGUAGGCGGCCUGAUAAGUAGGGGGUGAAAUCUUGCGGCUUAACCGCAAGGCUGCCUUCUAAACUGUCGGGCUAGAGCACAGUAGAGGCAGGUGGAAUUCCCGGUGUAGCGGUGGAAUGCGUAGAUAUCGGGAGGAACACCGGUGGCGAAGGCGGCGACCUGGGACGAUACUGACGCUGAGGUGCGAAAGCGUGGGGAGCAAACAGG